rnacentral:rRNA from 1 species
UGCGUAGGCGGAUAAAUAAGUCAGUGAUGAAAUCCUGCAGCUCAACUGUAGAACUGUCAUUGAUACUGAUUUUCUUGAAUUUAGUUGAGGUAGGCGGAAUGUGUAAUGUAGCGGUGAAAUGCUUAGAUAUUACACAGAACACCGAUUGCGAAGGCAGCUUACUAAGCUAACAUUGACGCUGAGGCACGAAAGCGUGGGGAGCGAACAGGAUUAGAUACCCUGGUAGUCC